rnacentral:rRNA from 1 species
UACGUAGGGUGCAAGCGUUGUCCGGAAUUAUUGGGCGUAAAGAGCUCGUAGGCGGUCUGUCACGUCUGCUGUGAAAACUCGGGGCUUAACCCCGGGCCUGCAGUGGGUACGGGCAGACUAGAGUGCGGUAGGGGAGACUGGAAUUCCUGGUGUAGCGGUGAAACGCGCAGAUAUCAGGAGGAACACCGGUGGCGAAGGCGGGUCUCUGGGCCGUAACUGACGCUGAGGAGCGAAAGCGUGGGGAGCGAACAGG